AUGGACAAGCAUUUUUAUCAAGAGAACAUCAUAAAAUCUAAUUUGGCGCCGUACAUAAGACAACACUUUAAAGGAUCUCAUCGUUUCUUCCAAGACAAUGACCCGAAACAUACAGCCGCGAGGCAGUAUAUUGCUGAGGAGGGGAUCAACUGGGUGAAAACACCAGCUGAGUAUGUUUGUGUCUGUCCAUUUUUUUAUUUUUUAUUUUUUUAUUCUGGUUUACGAAAUGUACAUUUGACAAAAUCGCCCAACUUGUCAUUUUGUUUUCGCAUGCAGAUCACCAGAUCUUAAUCCAAUCGAGCUGGUGUGUGGCACGCAAUGAAGGAAUUCAUCAGACGUCAGGUCAAGCCAAGAAAUAAAGACGAGCUUCUUGAGGCCAUUGUAACUUUUUGGUGAAAUUGCUAGACAAAAACUGUCUGCAACAGAUACAUUGACCACCUUCAGAAGGUUUUGCAACGGAUGCGCUACUGGAAUGUAACAAAUUGAUUGUAAUUUUGUAAAUUUAUCGUAAACUUGCUAUUAUUUAUUAAACCUUAGACUAACAAUAAUCUGCUGUCUCUUAUUUCUAAGCAUCACAAAGAAUGAUAAAACAUAAACGUCGGCCAACAUUGCUUAAGAGCAAAUAUUGAUAAAUAAAAUAAAUAAAUAAAUAAAAAAAAAAAAAAUCUUUUAAAAGAAGAAAUUUCAAGCUUUCUGUAGAUAUAUUUCUCAUGAAUGUGAGGCACCCCAAUUUUAAGUUAUUUCAUUAUCAGGAAAAAAAUUUAGUGAUCAUGGGGACGCCUCCCUGUCAUGCAUGUACAUUAAUAAUUUUCCACACAAACACUUGAAUAUGAGCACAUUUCUUUUAGGUUACAGUAUGGGAUCCG
ensembl:lncRNA